AGAACUUAUAGCAACAUUCCUCAGUAUCCUAUCUAAGGGAAAGUGGGUAUCAUCCCCCAUAUGUUAUUGUGCCACAAUGAUAGUUUACUCCUUUAGGUUUAGAUACAAAUGCCCACCAAUCACACUGUUCAUCUUCUUCUCUCCUCUUUCUCCUACUUGUUCCCCCGUCACUAUAUUAGCUUAUGAAUUCCCCAUAGAUCCCUACUCGUGUCAGCACCCUCCUCCCCUACUUUAACUUCCUUCUCCAUCUACUAUGAUCCUCUUAGUCUAGACCUCUAUUCUCCCUCCCUCUUCCCGGCCUACAG
rnacentral:misc_RNA from 1 species